GAUGAAGAACGCAGCGAAAUGCGAUAGGUAGUGUGAAUUGCAGAUGUAACGUGAAUCAUCGAAUCUUUGAACGCAAAUUGCACUCUCUGGUAUUCCGGGGAGUAUGCCUGUUUGAGGGUCGCCAAAUCAACAUCGAAAUUCAUUUGCUUUUUUUAAGUAAAUGUUUAUCGGAUUUGAGCCGUCUUUUUUUAUUUUUUUUUAAUUAAAGUGGCUUAAAAUGUAUUUUUUUUUGGUAUCGAAAAACGUUAUUUUACGAUCAAAUUGAUUAAAAAAACAAACGUUUCGAAUGCCAUCUUUUAGUGUAAUACGUUUGACUGUGAUGUUAAUCAUAGUUUUCAUUCGUAUACGAUUUUUUAAUUUUUGACCUCAAAUCAGGUAAGAACACCCGCUGAACUUAAGCAUAUCAAUAAGCGGAGGA
rnacentral:misc_RNA from 1 species